rnacentral:misc_RNA from 1 species
ACGAAUGAGGCUCAGUCUCGGAAGUUAAAUCAGCAGAUUGCUUAUUAUCACUUGAGUUUGGUUCCGGAAUCACACCAGACUCUUCAUCAAUAUCAUUUUCAGUUUCACUCUCUUCAUGCUCAAAGGCACCAUCACCUGAGCUGCUUCCCUCUUUGUGGCUGAUAGAUGAUAGUCCAUUUUCUUCAGUCCAGCUACUUUCAGGAAUUGGUGAAUCUGCCCGUGACAGGUUUGAAGGACCCAGUCUAAGUGGAGAGCUUGCACAACUGGUUGUUUUUGGUGAAUCAGACCAGUACUUACGACCUGAAGGAAG